rnacentral:rRNA from 1 species
UUAAGUUAUUAAGGGCGCACGGUGGAUGCCUUGGCACUAGAAGCCGAUGAAGGACGUUACUAACGACGAUAUGCUUUGGGGAGCUGUAAGUAAGCUUUGAUCCAGAGAUUUCCGAAUGGGGAAACCCAGCAUGAGUUAUGUCAUGUUAUCGAUAUGUGAAUACAUAGCAUAUCAGAAGGCACACCCGGAGAACUGAAACAUCUUAGUACCCGGAGGAAGAGAAAGAAAAUUCGAUUCCCUUAGUAGCGGCGAGCGAAACGGGAAGAGCCCAAACCAACAAGCUUGCUUGUUGGGGUUGUAGGACACUCUAUACGGAGUUACAAAGGACGACAUUAGACGAAUCAUCUGGAAAGAUGAAUCAAAGAAGGUAAUAAUCCUGUAGUCGAAAAUGUUGUCUCUCUUGAGUGGAUCCUGAGUACGACGGAGCACGUGAAAUUCCGUCGGAAUCUGGGAGGACCAUCUCCUAAGGCUAAAUACUCUCUAGUGACCGAUAGUGAACCAGUACCGUGAGGGAAAGGUGAAAAGCACCCCGGAAGGGGAGUGAAAUAGAACCUGAAACCGUGUGCUUACAAGUAGUCAGAGCCCGUUAAUGGGUGAUGGCGUGCCUUUUGUAGAAUGAACCGGCGAGUUACGAUUUGAUGCAAGGUUAAGCAGUAAAUGUGGAGCCGUAGCGAAAGCGAGUCUGAAUAGGGCGUUUAGUAUUUGGUCGUAGACCCGAAACCAGGUGAUCUACCCUUGGUCAGGUUGAAGUUCAGGUAACACUGAAUGGAGGACCGAACCGACUUACGUUGAAAAGUGAGCGGAUGAACUGAGGGUAGCGGAGAAAUUCCAAUCGAACCUGGAGAUAGCUGGUUCUCUCCGAAAUAGCUUUAGGGCUAGCCUCAAGUGAUGAUUAUUGGAGGUAGAGCACUGUUUGGACGAGGGGCCCCUCUCGGGUUACCGAAUUCAGACAAACUCCGAAUGCCAAUUAAUUUAACUUGGGAGUCAGAACAUGGGUGAUAAGGUCCGUGUUCGAAAGGGAAACAGCCCAGACCACCAGCUAAGGUCCCAAAAUAUAUGUUAAGUGGAAAAGGAUGUGGCGUUGCCCAGACAACUAGGAUGUUGGCUUAGAAGCAGCCAUCAUUUAAAGAGUGCGUAAUAGCUCACUAGUCGAGUGACACUGCGCCGAAAAUGUACCGGGGCUAAACAUAUUACCGAAGCUGUGGAUUGUCCUUUGGACAAUGGUAGGAGAGCGUUCUAAGGGCGUUGAAGCAUGAUCGUAAGGACAUGUGGAGCGCUUAGAAGUGAGAAUGCCGGUGUGAGUAGCGAAAGACGGGUGAGAAUCCCGUCCACCGAUUGACUAAGGUUUCCAGAGGAAGGCUCGUCCGCUCUGGGUUAGUCGGGUCCUAAGCUGAGGCCGACAGGCGUAGGCGAUGGAUAACAGGUUGAUAUUCCUGUACCACCUAUAAUCGUUUUAAUCGAUGGGGGGACGCAGUAGGAUAGGCGAAGCGUGCGAUUGGAUUGCACGUCUAAGCAGUAAGGCUGAGUAUUAGGCAAAUCCGGUACUCGUUAAGGCUGAGCUGUGAUGGGGAGAAGACAUUGUGUCUUCGAGUCGUUGAUUUCACACUGCCGAGAAAAGCCUCUAGAUAGAAAAUAGGUGCCCGUACCGCAAACCGACACAGGUAGUCAAGAUGAGAAUUCUAAGGUGAGCGAGCGAACUCUCGUUAAGGAACUCGGCAAAAUGACCCCGUAACUUCGGGAGAAGGGGUGCUCUUUAGGGUUAACGCCCAGAAGAGCCGCAGUGAAUAGGCCCAAGCGACUGUUUAUCAAAAACACAGGUCUCUGCUAAACCGUAAGGUGAUGUAUAGGGGCUGACGCCUGCCCGGUGCUGGAAGGUUAAGAGGAGUGGUUAGCUUCUGCGAAGCUACGAAUCGAAGCCCCAGUAAACGGCGGCCGUAACUAUAACGGUCCUAAGGUAGCGAAAUUCCUUGUCGGGUAAGUUCCGACCCGCACGAAAGGCGUAACGAUUUGGGCACUGUCUCAACGAGAGACUCGGUGAAAUCAUAGUACCUGUGAAGAUGCAGGUUACCCGCGACAGGACGGAAAGACCCCGUGGAGCUUUACUGUAGCCUGAUAUUGAAAUUCGGCACAGCUUGUACAGGAUAGGUAGGAGCCUUUGAAACGUGAGCGCUAGCUUACGUGGAGGCGCUGGUGGGAUACUACCCUAGCUGUGUUGGCUUUCUAACCCGCACCACUUAUCGUGGUGGGAGACAGUGUCAGGCGGGCAGUUUGACUGGGGCGGUCGCCUCCUAAAAGGUAACGGAGGCGCUCAAAGGUUCCCUCAGAAUGGUUGGAAAUCAUUCAUAGAGUGUAAAGGCAUAAGGGAGCUUGACUGCGAGACCUACAAGUCGAGCAGGGUCGAAAGACGGACUUAGUGAUCCGGUGGUUCCGCAUGGAAGGGCCAUCGCUCAACGGAUAAAAGCUACCCCGGGGAUAACAGGCUUAUCUCCCCCAAGAGUUCACAUCGACGGGGAGGUUUGGCACCUCGAUGUCGGCUCAUCGCAUCCUGGGGCUGUAGUCGGUCCCAAGGGUUGGGCUGUUCGCCCAUUAAAG